GGUAAUACCGGAUGAGAUCGCAAGACUGUGAUAUUGCGAGGAAAGAUGCUACGGCAUCGCCUGAAGAUGGGCCCGCGUCCCAUUAGCUAGUUGGUAGUGUAACGGACUACCAAGGCGAAGAUGGGUAGCCGGCCUGAGAGGGUGAACGGCCACACUAGGACUGAGAUACGGGCCCAGACUCCUACGGGAGGCAGCAGCUAAGAAUAUUCCGCAAUGGACGAAAGUCUGACGGAGCGACGCCGCGUGGAUGAGGAAGGCCGAAAGGUUGUAAAAUCCUUUUAUUUGCUGAAGAAUAAGCAAGGUAGGGAAUGACCGGGUGAUGACGUUAGGCAAUGAAUAAGCCCCGGCUAAUUACGUGCCAGCAGCCGCGGUAACACGUAAGGGGCGAGCGUUGUUCGGAAUUAUUGGGCGUAAAGGGCGCGUAGGCGGCCUUGUAAGUCUGAUGUGAAAACCCCGGGCUCAACCCGGGACGUGCAUUGGAAACCUGCGAGGCUUGAGUCACGGAGGGGGAAUCGGAAUUCCUGGUGUAGGGGUGAAAUCUGUAGAUAU
rnacentral:rRNA from 1 species